UGGAAGACAAGUGAUUUUGUUGU
rnacentral:miRNA from 1 species